rnacentral:misc_RNA from 1 species
AAAUCUCAAACCAAGCUUUUCUUGACUUCGGUCGAAGGCUCGGGUUUGGACCGUUGGGAGUCUGCGGGCGACGCAUGUCGUCGGCUCUCCUGAAAUGCAUUAGCGGUGGGCAUGCAAGUCUUGCUUGGCACCAGCCUCUCCCGGCGUCAUAGUGAUCGUCGCGGGCUGUCCAGCUGCAAGGGACAUGUCCCAUGCUUCUCCAACUUUGCGAGCCCUCUCCUGGGCUCUGCGUUCGAAG